rnacentral:rRNA from 1 species
UACGUAGGGGGCAAGCGUUGUCCGGAAUCAUUGGGCGUAAAGAGCGUGUAGGCGGCCCGAUAAGUCCGCUGUGAAAGUCCAGGGCUCAACCCUGGAAUGCCGGUGGAUACUGUCGGGCUCGAAUCCGGAAGAGGUGAGUGGAAUUCCUGGUGCAGCGGUGAAAUGCGCAGAUAUCAGGAGGAACACCAUAGUCGGCAAGGCAGCUCACUGGGACGGUAUUGACGCUGGAGACGCGAAAGCGUGGGGAGCAAACAGG